rnacentral:snRNA from 1 species
UGCAGAUGGUCUUAUUAACGUA